GCCAAUAGCGGGAGCUCUCAAACCACCGGAAGAUGGCAGCCGCAUACUAUCCCAUACAAGAAACAGACAUAUCUCCAAACCUUCGGAUGCCAUGCAAGAAGAUAACCCGAACCAAUGGCGUCAGUGGUCAUCCGCCAUUGGAGGGCGUGGUCACGUGCUUACCUGGUCAAGCCGAGGAGAAAGAGGUUGUCGCACGCACUUGUUGAACUUUGUGUUCAUAACAUCGGCAGGAGCUACCUGUCCUCACUGGACGUCUGGACUCAAACAGUUCUGCACGCCAUCUGCAUCUCCCACCGGAACUGUGAGUACGCCAUCCCUAACGGUUGCGCACCAAAAGCAGCGGGUCGGCCCGACGUGCGCUGGACAAGGUAGGAGUACCGGUAGUGUGUGAAUGUGGGCCCACGUUUAAUAUUGUUACGCUUGUUGCCAUAUUUAAACAGU